CAUGUCAACAACAAAAAAAGCCAAUUGUGUUUAGAGAAAUAAAAAUGUAGAUUUUUUACAAAAUUGGAAGAUUAAAAGAUAACGGAAUGUGUGUUAAAUAUUUCGCAAUUUAUUUAAGAAAUAUUUAUUUAGGAAAUAGGUAAUGAAGAUUCUAUAAAAUUCGGCAUGAAAUUUUAUGGUGUAUGUAUGGGCUUUUCUUCGAAAUUGACCUUAGGAUAACAAUUUCCUACAAUUAUAUAAUGGUUUGAGGGCUUUAAAAAUUAAUUUUCCUUCUGGUUACUACUACUACAUAUAUGGCUGGAAUUAUUGCAAUUUGUCGCAAUAAAAAUAGUGCCAUACUGAGAGUAUUUUGAAUUACCCAUGUUGUUAGGACAGAGUUGCCAUUGACGUCGUGUUUUGGAUUUUGAUCAAGAAAGAACUAACCGACAGUAUAAUUUCCUUUCAUCGAAAUGGGAGAAGACAGUGUGAGGAGACAUUACUAGUAAAUAUAAAAGGAUACCAUAAAUAAAAUAUAUGUAUUUACUCAAAUAUAGAUACAUUCUUACUACACUAUCUUAAGUAUGAAUAUCACAAUCGUUACAAAUAUUACCAAUAUACAUAUGUAUACUAUGUACAACUUUAAAAAUAUACAACUAAUUUUAA